rnacentral:rRNA from 1 species
UUUCCCGCGCCUCCCUUGCUUUCAAUGGUUUCGGCCUCGGUUGGCUCGGGGUCAAAGGACGGCGCGCUCCGCUUUGGUGACUCUGGAUAACUCACUGGUCGAUCGCACGGGCUUCCACGCCCGGCGACGGGUCCCUCGAGGGUCCACCCUAUCAACGUG